CUACGGGGGGCUCCAGUCGAGAAUCUUCCGCAAUGGACGAAAGUCUGACGGAGCGACGCCGCAUGCGGGAUGAAGGCCUUCGGGUUGUAAACCGCUGUCAGUGGGGAGGAAAUGCAUCAGGGUUCUCCCUGGUGUUUGACCGAUCCGCAGAGGAAGCGUAGGCUAAGUUCGUGCCAGCAGCCGCGGUAACACGAACUGCGCGAACGUUAUUCGGAAUCACUGGGCUUAAAGAGUUCGUAGGCGGCCUUUCAAGUCGGGUGUGAAAUCCCUCGGCUCAACCGAGGAAUUGCGCCUGAUACUGUUGGGCUUGAGGGGGAUAGGGGUGAGCGGAACUGAUGGUGGAGCGGUGAAAUGCGUUGAUAUCAUCAGGAACACCGGUGGCGAAGGCGGCUCACUGGAUCUCUUCUGACGCUGAGGAACGAAAGCUAGGGGAGCGAACGGGAUUAGAUACCCCUGUAGUC
rnacentral:rRNA from 1 species